GUCCACGCCGUAAACGAUGAGAACUAGAUGUCGGGGGAACUCAGUCUCCCGGUGUCGCAGCUAACGCGUUAAGUUCUCCGCCUGGGGAGUACGCCGGCAACGGUAAAACUCAAAGGAAUUGACGGGGACCCGCACAAGCGGUGGAGCAUGUGGUUUAAUUCGAUGCAACGCGAAGAACCUUACCUGCCCUUGACAUUGAUGGAAUCCUGCAGAGAUGCGGGAGUGCCUUCGGGCCCUGAAAACAGGUGCUGCAUGGCUGUCGU
rnacentral:rRNA from 1 species